rnacentral:rRNA from 1 species
UACGGAGGGUGCAAGCGUUGUCCGGUUUUAUUGGGUUUAAAGGGCGCGUAGGUGGCCCUGCAAGUCCGUGGUGAAAGCCUGCCGCUUAACGGCAGAACUGCCAUGGAUACUACAGGGCUUGAGUCCAGACGAGGUUGGCGGAAUGGAUGGUGUAGCGGUGAAAUGCAUAGAUACCAUCCAGAACCCCGAUUGCGUAGGCAGCUGACUAGGAUGGUACUGACACUGAGGCACGAAAGCGUGGGGAGCGAACAGG